AGAGCAUCUGCCUUACAAGCAGGAGGUCACAGGUUCGAGCCCUGUCGCGCCCA
rnacentral:tRNA from 1 species